rnacentral:rRNA from 1 species
AUUGAACGCUGGCGGCAGGCCUAACACAUGCAAGUCGAACGGUAACAGGAAGCAGCUUGCUGCUUCGCUGACGAGUGGCGGACGGGUGAGUAAUGUCUGGGAAACUGCCUGAUGGAGGGGGAUAACUACUGGAAACGGUAGCUAAUACCGCAUAACGUCGCAAGACCAAAGAGGGGGACCUUAGGGCCUCUUGCCAUCGGAUGUGCCCAGAUGGGAUUAGCUAGUAGGUGGGGUAACGGCUCACCUAGGCGACGAUCCCUAGCUGGUCUGAGAGGAUGACCAGCCACACUGGAACUGAGACACGGUCCAGACUCCUACGGGAGGCAGCAGUGGGGAAUAUUGCACAAUGGGCGCAAGCCUGAUGCAGCCAUGCCGCGUGUAUGAAGAAGGCCUUCUGGUUGUAAAGUACUUUCAGCGGGGAGGAAGGGAGUAAAGUUAAUACCUUUGCUCAUUGACGUUACCCGCAGAAGAAGCACCGGCUAACUCCGUG